rnacentral:rRNA from 1 species
ACGCAGCGAAAUGCGAUACUUGGUGUGAAUUGCAGAAUCCCGUGAACCAUCGAGUCUUUGAACGCAAGUUGCGCCCAAAGCCUUCCGGCCAAGGGCACGUCUGCCUGGGUGUCACAC